CUGUGGUUGGACCCUCCUGUCUGUCCCAUAAAAUCUUAAGGUUCAACAGUGACAGUGACCUUCCUUUAAAGGGCUGCAGCAGCCAUUGAAGACUUUCUCUCAAUUCACUCUACUCAGAAAACCAUCUGAGGUGUGGCCCUCUGAGUCAAGCAAACCUGAUUUGUACUUCUUCAGGGUAAAAACUCUUUGCUUUCCCAGUCCCCAUCCUGCUGUCCAUCCACUUGAGAACGGGGGGAAGAGAAGCAGUCAUUGAAGACAGAGCCCAGUGGAUUGGAUUUUGGAGGAGCUGAGGUUUUUCCUGUCAGAGAUCCAUGAUGGGGAUAUUUUUCCUGGAUGUCCCAAAGGGAAGGAGCAACUUUGAAGUUGUUGCAGCCACAUGCUGUGGAUGCAUCCCCUGAAAACCAGUUCAGGAUUGUUCAUCUGACUCUGACCCUGAUCAGUGGCUUCCAGGGAGUCUUCUGGUGUUCUGAAUAUUCCCAGGAGAAAGAUAUUCCAGCACCUGCUUUUUAAGCCAGGAAUUCCACACCCAGGACCACAAAGACCUUCUGGACUUUGUUAUCUCAUCCCAUGGCAAAGAACACCUCCAAAACUGCCUCGUCACCUUUAUGGAAUGACAAUGGAUGUUGGGAGCUCUGGCAGAAGCACCUGGAGACCAGACUGUCUUCCUCUUGGUGCCUGGCCUGUCGCCACAAUCCCUGGGGACUGCUGGAAGCCUGGACACUGGAACCUGGGCUGCUGGAGGGCUACAGCAGACCAGUAAAGCCAGGCCAUCACCAGCAGGGUAGCAUCUCCCCAGCAGCCCCACCAGGACUUCCCUUACCGAGCCGCUGUGUGAGAGGACUGAGGAGGAGAAAGGAGGACACAAGAAGAGCCCCAGGAUGAAGGGGAUGGAGGACGAUGGUGCCUGGGGAGACAUCAGGCAGUACAGCAGGGAGUGGGGAGUGGAGA